rnacentral:rRNA from 1 species
UACGAAGGGGGCUAGCGUUGCUCGGAAUCACUGGGCGUAAAGGGCGCGUAGGUGGCGCGACAAGUCAGUGGUGAAAGCUCGAUGCUUAACAUCGAGUCGGCCACUGAUACUGUUGGGCUUGAGCACUGUAGAGGCUAAUGGAAUUCCGGGUGUAGCGGUGGAAUGCGUAGAGAUCCGGAAGAACACCGGUGGCGAAGGCGGUUAGCUGGGCAGUUGCUGACACUGAGGCGCGACAGCGUGGGGAGCAAACAGG